rnacentral:rRNA from 1 species
CACGUAGGGCGCAAGCGUUGUCCGGAGUUACUGGGCGUAAAGCGCACGCAGGCGGUCUGCUAAGUUUGGAGUGACAGUUGGUGGCUUAACUGCCAAAGUGCUUCGAAAACUGACAGACUUGAGGGCUUCAGAGGGACACGGAAUUCCGGGUGGAGUGGUGAAAUGCGUAGAGAUCCGGAGGAACACCAAAGGCGAAGGCAGUGUCCUGGGGAGUACCUGACGCUCAGGUGCGAAAGCCAGGGGAGCGAACGGG